rnacentral:rRNA from 1 species
UACGUAGGGGGCAAGCGUUGUCCGGAAUCAUUGGGCGUAAAGAGCGUGUAGGCGGUUCGGUAAGUCGGCUGUGAAAGUCCAGGGCUCAACCCUGGGAUGCCGGUCGAUACUGCCGGACUAGAGUUCGGAAGAGGCGAGUGGAAUUCCCGGUGUAGCGGUGAAAUGCGCAGAUAUCGGGAGGAACACCUAUGGCGAAGGCAGCUCGCUGGGACGUUACUGACGCUGGGGUGCGAAAGCAUGGGGAGCGAACAGG